AAAAACACAUUAUUUCUCAUUACUUUAUGGAGUGGAUAGCAUUGCUUUAUUUUAAAAAUCAUCUUACCAAAAGAAAACUCUUCUAUUAGUUGCAGACUGCAGGCUAAUUAUUUCUCUUUUUUUUUUUAUACAUUCACUCCAGUAUUCCCAAGAGUUGCAUUGUUUUUAUUCAUUUUAUCCUGUUCAUGUACUUGGUUAUUUUGACCUUUUUUUUUUUUUUUUUUUUUUUUUUUCAGACUGGGAAUGUUUUGUCUUCUGCCCUUUAUAGUCAUAAAGAACAUUCUUUCAGAGUCCUCUCAAUACAAGAAAAGUUUCUUUUGCAUGCAAAUUUCUCUGAAAAUUCCAGUUAGGGCCAUAAAAAUAGGCAUUUCAAAGGAGCAUUUCUGUAUUCAGUCAAGUUCUCUGGAGAUAUGUUUUCCUGGGUGUUGGGAGCAAAAACUGUGGUGCAGCCUGAAUUUCCAGAUAUCACACAGGCUACUUACAGCAUCAAGUACUAUUUGAUGUGAAAAAAAGAUGCAAAAUUGAGCACCAUCUGAUUCAGUAGUCACUAUUCACCUUAUACAGAGUUCACACAUUAUUGCAUUUGGCUUGCAUCAGAGUUUAUUAUUAUUAUUAUUAUUAUUUUUUGAAUUAUCACUUAAUUUUGUGCAGUGUAAUUUAUUCUGAUCUAGAUCUGUUUUACCAGUGAAGAGAUAUCUGGUCAUUAAAAGACUUUAGUAAAAAUGAUUUACAUGAGAGGUUAGUGUCCCAAAACUUCUGCUGCUUGACUUUGGGAUUAUUGAUAAAUCUUUUGUUAAAAUCUGUAAGUGUAUUUUAAAAAUACAGUAUGUCAUUAGCAUCCGUAAACUUUGUUUUUUCUCCUCUACUAGUGGAGAAAAAAGGGCAUAGGGAAAAUGAAGUGUUUAGUCUUGGACAUUGUUAUCUAAUGACAAGAAGCCCCUUCUUAUGACUUAUUGAAUCAUUACAAUGUUUUUUAGUAGUUGACUAAAAUAAUUACCCUGAAUUGUGGCAAUUGUUGGGAAAAAGUUUCAGAGAAGAAGCAUCUGAACUAUAAGGAAUAAUAUGUUCAUGAUUUCUGAACUAGUAAUUAGUAAGCAAAGAUGCCAAGGGGAAGGAAAAAAAAAAAGAAAAAAAAAUAUUUGAAUGUAAAAAACUGUAUGAGUGCUACAGGUUUGCAGAUCUGCUAGGUUACCUUCUGGGCUUGGAAUAAAGGGUUGAAAUUGUCUAGAGCUAGAGUGGAAAUGUAAUCAGAUUCAGGACAAAUGACACUAAACCUAAUUUAUCAUGUUGCUACAUAAGAUUUUUAGUUUUUCAGAUCAGUAAAAUUAGUCAAAAUAUAUUUUAUGCAGAAAAGGUGUUAUUGACUAUGCAUUACAGUACACAUAGUAUUUAGCCUGUGAGGCCAAAAAAUACUAUCUAUAAAGUCAUGAUUUUCCUACAAAGGGCAUUUAAAAAAAUAAAGAAUUAUAUUUUUGUUGGCUGGUCAUCGAUUCUUUUCUGCAAUAAUUAUAAUGCAAUUUACAAAGUUAUUUAAUGAUGAGAGGUAAAAUGAAUGAAUAAAAUGUUGCAGUGUUUCCUAGUAAGUUGAAGGCAAAAGUGUUUCAACAGUAAUGAUAUGACUGAAUGUCAUGACAACUGCCUGUUCAGUCUGCAAGAUUUAUUAUGGUGUGAGCCUUCAGUAGAAGAAAAAUAUGGAAUCUGCUUACUUUUUGCUUUGAUAUAAAAUUGU